rnacentral:lncRNA from 1 species
GAACCUAGAGUAUUAGAAUCUAGGUUGAUGAGUAUAGUGGUAUAGCCACUAGGAUGAGAUAGGUCGAAAGUAUAGGGUUGGGUAUGGACACUCGAUCUGUGGAAAGUGGAUUCUGGAAUCCCAGGACUUGUGAUGACAAUGAUAUAAUAAUGUGAUUGUAAUUUGGAAGUAAAUGUAAACUGAAAUUGAGAUGUAUUAAGUGAGUGAAUGCUUGUAAUAGCAGUAGUUUAUGUAUUUGAUACUUCCUUUGCAAUCUGGAUUGAUAUCCGUUCCUAGUUGGAACAUUCGUUGAUUGUUUGGAUUGCGACGCCUAGAACGUACAGGGGAGACUCUGUCCGCGUACAGGAAAAACCCCGGUCCGUUCGGCGGUCUGUCGUCGGCGUCGCGACCCGGUCCAAAUUGGCGGUUGGUUGCCGGGCGUGACAGAUAAAGCGGUUUCAGAGUAUAAAGUAGAAAAUGGGAAGGAAAUGGUUUAGACAGA